UACGGAGGGUGCAAGCGUUAUCCGGAUUUAUUGGGUUUAAAGGGUGCGUAGGCUGUGUCUUAAGUCAGCGGUGAAAUGUCAGGGCUCAACCUUGAGACUGCCGUUGAUACUGGGAUGCUGGAGUACGGAUGCCGCUGGAGGAAUGUGUGGUGUAGCGGUGAAAUGCAUAGAUAUCACACAGAACACCGAUUGCGAAGGCAUCUGGCGAAUCCGUAACUGACGCUGAAGCACGAAAGCGCGGGUAUCAAACAGG
rnacentral:rRNA from 1 species